GAAUUUAGCUUUAGUUUUAGGUUUGAUUUUAGGUUUAAAUUUAGAAUUUAGCUUUAGUUUUAGGUUUGAAUUUAGGUUUAACUAUAUGCGCUCAAAUUUAUGUUUGCAUUUCAAAAGUUCAUAAUUUCGCUCGGGGAUAAACCGGAUCUGGCAAUUCUUUUUCUGCGGCAACUAGCUGGUUUACGGGAGGCAAUUAUAGAGCGGGAAGAGUUCUUUUGGCUGAUGAGGCUUUCUUGUCCGUCCGUAUUAGGGUCCGUUCGGGUAAACAAGGUUUUCUGUUAUAAAUAUAUAUGGCUAAGACCACCUGAGAUCUCAAAAUCACGCGUUACUUUGUAAGAGGUCUGAGCUCAACCCUGUUCGCGCACGUUUGACAAAAAAAAAACGCAAACGGAAUGGAUUCGAUACGAUGAAUGAUAGAAAACUACUUAAAAAGGACACUCGUCCGGUCCGUCUUGUCGUCCGGGUGCAAACUCACAGAAGGUCGGAAAACCAAAAAUUAUACCAGAGCACCCCAGGCGUGGUGGUGCUGGAAAACAGCUUCUCCCUCGUUGGAUGGAGUUGGUGUUGAAGUGACUUUGCAGGUUUGUGUUUUGCUUCGGUUUAAUUAAAAAAUUUAGUUUUAAGUCUAGUUUUAAGUUUAGCUUUAAGUUUAAUUAAUUCUUUUUUUUAAAUAAAAUUGAUUUAAUUUAUAUAAAAAAAUAAAAUCAAAAAUUUAUUUUUUUUUAUGAUGAGGCCACAGACUCCACCUUCUUCUUCUCUACGAGCAAAAAUCAAAAAGGCCGACAUUUCU